UGCUUGUCCUGCAUCAAACACGUCUGUGUGCCUUCGUGUGGGUUGUCUCUGCAGUGUGGGAAUGCUUUUCCAGGAAGGGCAAUGUCAUCUCUACAAUUUUUACUUGAAAACACAGCAGCAAUCAGAGUAGACUUUCUGUCAGUAGGAGCCGGUGCAGCACUGCUGAAGGCAGUGGGAAUUCCAUGACACCUAUGAAGUCCGACCCAUUAUCCAAGUCCAGCUGGAGGGUGCCGAGCUGAAACAUGUUCUAGUGAAAUAAACAUGUGAAACCGCUGCUGUUGCCAUUGGCAACAUGUUGCGGUUCUACUCAAGCUGUGCUACGCUGGUACUUAGAAAUGAUCUAAAGAAAUCUUGCGUAUCAAAAGUAGUAAAGAGGAUGAAAAUACUUUGAGCCUGCAGCCUUAAACUAUCAGUGUAACUCAUAUAAUUAGCUUUUUCUCACAUAUGUGCUCAUCACUUCAUAAUCCAUUACUACAUUUGUAGCAAAUGACAUCUGUAUUUAUUUUUGUGUCAAAGCUUGAAACUGACAUUUAUGAAAGCUCCAAUGUGACUUUUGCAGUCAUGACUGUAAAAAUGUGGGACAGAAAACUUUAAUCUUGUGCCCACUCUUGAGUCAUUAAAUCAGAUUAUCUUUUCACACUGUUUAUUGGAUAACUCAGGUGGUAACACUUAAGUUUACAAAGGCGACUUGUAAAGCUUUUUGAGAGAGGAAACCUUCACUGUGGUGCAUCAGUGCACUGGUCUGUAGAAACAAUACAGCAGCAAUUCAGUUCACAGAGUGCUGUGAUCAUUUGGGGCUCUGUCUUCUCUUAUUAUGACUUCUCUGAAUUCCUUUAAAAAUUUGCUGGGAUAAUUUUUACUUUGGUCGAAACAAUUAAUCAUGCCACCCCCAAAGCAAAGCAAUUCUGUCCUCUGUUCACACUGUUCCCUUUACUUGUUUGGAUUGAGCAUGCUUAUACUAGCUACUCUGAGAUCUUUUCUAACUUAAAAUGUUCAGAAAUUUGCUUUGAUGCUUCAGGCAUUUUCUGAUUGGGAGCCCCUUUGAUAUGGAAUGAGUCAGGAUUUGCUUCCAAAAUAUUGGGGUAUUUUUCAUGCACCUACUGUCUUGGAAAAUUCUGUACCUGUGAUAUCCAGAAGGCAACUUAUCUACUAGACCUUUUUUAUGCUCUGGUUUGACUUUCAUUUUUCUAUUUCUCAUCUGUGAAUCAUAAUGCUGUAUUAGUGAUGGCCAUUGGUAGUGUUUUGCUUUUCUUUAACUUCUUCCUGGGGACCUGAAUUUCAGUUUUUCCUAUUUCUUGUAUGUGCUAUUAGCAAAAGGAUUUAAAAAAACCCUUUGUUCUUUGUAAACUGCUAAGCAUAGAAUUGCAGAAUUCUCAUCCAAGACUGCUCAGCAGAAGAGUACUGUGCUUAGUCAAGAGAAAAUAGCAUAAAAACUCAUGUUUCCUUGCCAUGGAACAGAACCAGGUCAAGCAUAGCCACACUCCUUAUCACUUGUGCCCGUGGUUCCAGAAUGCAUUCCCUUCUCUGGUUCCAUUCUUGAAGCAGUACUUUGUGUGGCAUUGGACAUUAAUGGAUCUGGGCACUAUGAGGUAAUGCACAACUUUGAGCUGCUGUACUGCAGUGGGAGGAUAUUCAGGCACAUGUUGGUGCUCUUUCUGAUUUUCAGGUUAAAUUGUGGUUUUAUAUAUGUUGCAGAUACCACACACACUUUGUAGUACCAUUCAAUCCUAAAUUGACUGGAUGUUCUCUAAGCAUUACUGGGCUGUUCCUUCUGUGAGAGUGACUUCUACCAGUGUAUUACUUUCUGCUGAAGGAGCUGUUGGAAGUAUUUCCUCUGAACUUCCCUUUCUGUGCCCACUUCUUUAAGAGCAUAUCAAGAAGAGAGACCCCAAUCAUGGAAACACUGAAGGGAGCAUGUAACAGUGAAGUCAGCCUACUUGCAUGGGUAUACACCAGGAUAGUUGCCUCCCAGUCACUUUCUCAUAAACUGCAUUUGUGAGGAAAGGUGGUGUUCAACAGGAGGCAGUGGAAAGGGCAGGAAGGUUGGCUCUGGGUCUGGCAGCAGCACUGCUGCACACAGAGGUCAGUGCAUUGGGAGGAUCACAUCCUUGUGUGGACAGCAGCUUUUGUGGAGUUCCUGUAGGGGAGCAGUGUGUGCUUUUGUGCAGAUGUGGGGAGAGUGUCUGAGGGGAGGCACUGCAGUUAUUAUACUGUCCUCAUAAUCCCAUCUGACCUCUCUCCACCAAAGGAGGAGAAUGGAGGGUGUUCCUCUGUAAGGUCUGUGACCAAGUUAUAGGUGUGUGGUCUUCCCCAAGGACCAUGUUAACCUUGGGACUGCACAAGGGUUGAUUUGCUCCAGUCCAGUAUUGCAUUCCUGUCUGCUGCCCUGCUCCAGAAAAAAAUAACUGCCCUUCAUUGAAAGUUUUUUGCAAAGGCUUCUCAAAAUCACCUGGCAGUAACCCUUUUUGACUGACAGCUGCUGCUCAAACCCCAUGGAGAAGCAGUUUCUUUUCAUUCAGAGUUUCUGCAUGGCACAAUCUUCCCAGGUCCAGGAAAGAGGUCUGGCAGGAGGACAGAGCUGGGCUGCAUAUCUUCAAAUCUCAGAAGCCACAGUCCAUUGGAUACCCAAAUGUGCCCAUCAGUUGUUAGCUUGGAAACAUGUGGGUUCAAUAAAGCAAGGUUUUUCUGCAGCAGUAUUUGAGGUCCUGAUAUGCAGUGUUGUCUCUUCCCUGGCUGCACCCUGUGCACAGGAUGGCUCUUGCUGUGCCUGGCUCAGGGCUGCAUGUGCAGCUGCACGGUCAGGACACAAGCAGGGGAAACCUGUGUCGUCCCUCUGCAAGCAGUUUCCCAGGUCUGUCUUCUUGCUCAUGAACAGCUUUCAGUGUGGUUGGAGGGAACCUCCUUUCUGCACGACUUUGACUGUUGUGUUUGGCUGACAUUGGGUUGGGGGUGCAGAAUUUCACUGUCUGGAGACAGCCAACACAAUGAAGUGACUCUGCUUAUGCGUUGAUAGGAGGCUGUCUUGAGAAAUCUAGUCUGAAAAGGCUGAAUGAGAAUAAUCUCAGAAUUUCGUUCAACUGGGUUAUUGUGCUAUGAAAGAAAAAUGUUAAUUUAGUCCCUCCUGUGGUAGUGCUGGGUCAGUCACAGUGAUUAUCCUGUUUUAAAAAGCACAAAUCACUGAAGGAGAAACAAUGGGCAUUUGUUGUCUCAGAAGCUGCUGGAGUCAAGAGCUGCAAAUUAUAAGAAGCUCUUUUAUUCAGAAAUGUUUUAUAAGGUGUGCUAAAGCUAUGAGCUAGUUAUGAGUAAGUGUUUAUCUGAAAUGUAUCCAGUGAAUUGAGUGUGGUAUAAAGAGGUAUGAAAGGAAUAAUUUAUAUUAAAUUAUUCUAAAAUGUAUAUAUAUUUAAUGUGUUAUUUACUUUUCUACUGUAUAGAUAAUAUUAAAAAUACUAGAAGACAGUAUUUCUUAGAGAGAUAAAUGUUAUUGUUGGUUGCUUUUAUUGGAUACUGCUCUAUAGCUUUUUCCUUUAUGAGACAUGCACCUCUUUGUAUCAUUAUUCAGGAGAAACUUUUGAUUUUGGAGAACAGUGUUUGUCCCAGAGACAAACCUGGGUUUAUUCAAACACUGCGAAUAUUAACGAAAAUGACUUUGUCUUUUCGGCCUGUAUUGUAUUAACCAGUUGCUGUGAUGAACAGAUGUAGAAGGCUUUAUUCAGGACUGGUUAACCAAUGUCUGGGCACCUCCUUUAGUGAGAGUUUAGAUUUAAGGAGAUUGAGUAAGUACUCUAGAAAUGCUACUCCUGUGGUUUCUUGGGAUUUUUUAGCCUGAGGGACGUUUAUAUAUGUGAAUAAGUAAAACAGCUUCAAUGAGUUCCUUCCUUUGGAGUAACUUUUGAGUUACUUCCUGUAUGCUAUUUAAAAGAGAACAAAACCCUGUGGUAGAAGGAGGUAGCAAGACUUGUGGAUGUUUCUACAUCCACAUUCUUCACCAACUAUGUAUUAGCUUCUUCAGAAUAAAUUUAAGUUCCAUUAAAAAGGGAGACAAUUCACAUCUGUUAUGGCAACUUCAUUACAUAUCUGUGCUUUUCUGGGGACACUCAGUAAAGGAGUAAGAGAAAUUAACUGGGAAAGAAUUUAAAAAGUGCUAAAAAGAAGGGAAGUUAAAAGAGAAUGAUGCAGGCAAUGGCUGUAUUGAAUGUUAUAGUUUUUUUCUCUUCAGCUCGUGUUUCUCACUGUUAGAAAUUGCAUGGAUGAGAGCAAAAUCAAAGAAAUAGGCUUAGGGAUAAUGGAUGCCUAUGUGAAAUAUUUCCUUUCCUGAGCAUGCCACGUACACAAAGCAGACACUGACCAGUACAAUGGAGACCUGAGUUAGGAGUAAAUUGUGUCUGGUCCAGAACUAACACUAAGGAAGAUGCUGAAUAGAGAGAGAACUGUUUCCCACAGGCUUUGGCAUUAGACCCUCCAGGUGCUGAUUAAACAGUAUCUUCUGUUACUCUUAAAAUAGCACCUGCUUUAUAUUUAUAUUUUUAUUUAUAUUUGUUUUAUUUAUGUAUAACAGAGAACAUAGAAGAGGGGUAUGGGAGGUGAGGGACAUUUAAUUCAAACAAACAAAGAAAAAACCCCCAAUAUAGUUUUGUGGAUUCAAAUCAUCUGACCCAACUAAGAAGCAGGUUUUCAUUGCAUAAAACACUGUGCAGACAAUCAUAGGGACUAAAUUAUGAAAGAGAAGGUAGUUCUCAAGGGACUAGUUAGGACCCAAAAGUUAAAUCUGGGACCCUGGUAAAUAGAGAAAUUAAGGUCUUAAGUAUGAGCCAGAACUACACUGGGUAAGUGUAAAAUUAUUAGCUAUACUUAAAAGUGGGUUGUACUUAGAGUUGUAUGUAGCCAAUUCCUUAGUUUUACUGCCUUUCCUAUUGCACUAAGUUAAUCAGAACUGUCACUGUGCUUACAAAUUACCUAUUUUAAACUAUACAUAUAAUUUACUGUAGUUUUGUGAUUGUAUCCUUUUGUCUUCUUAAGUGCUCUUCUUUACUUAGAUUCUUAGUUUUCAUUGUGGACCUACAAGUGUUGUCAUUGCUUCUGUGGCCAGCAUUCAUAGUUGUGUGGGGAAGUUUUGCUUUGCUGACAUUUCCUCUUCUGCUCCUGGCACUGAUCAGCUGGUUGCUAUUGUCCUUUAUCAUGGCUUUUAUGUAAAAUAUUCCAGGUUUUUCAUUUCUGGACUUUGCAUACACAUCCAUGUUUGCAUAAUAGUGAACAAUUUUCAUGACUGGAUGGAUGAGGUUUUUGUAUAACUGUAAGGCUUACUACAAAUACCUUGUCUUCUCUCUUCACCUUUUCAUUUGUAGUUCUAUUAGGCAACAGGAACAUCAGAUUCUCUUCCCAAAUCUGCCUGUUUUAAGGCUAAGAGAUUAAAGAAAGUAGUCUGUAGUCCUCAGAAAGUUUCUAAUUUCUUCUCCCUUGAAAGUGUUACUACAUCAGGAAAAUAAACAGGCUUGGUCUCAGUGCACUCAGGAUGAGGGCAGAGUCCUGUCAGCAUGUGAACAGAUGGACUAAAGCUUUUGUUCUGAUCCUAGGAAUUAAGUGGUUUCUUUUCUCUUCUCCAGACCCUCUUUUCAUUUGGAGCAGACCUGUGAUCGAUGCCCCAGGUUCAAGGGCCUGCACUUUCUGCUUGACUCUCUGUAGAUCUGUGGCCUGUGGGUGGCUGUGCUGGGUCAGCACUGCAGUCACCUCUGUGCUCGCCUGCUGUGUCACCCUAGAGCUGUUCUCAAGAUCUGCACCAGCACAAUAUGAGGCUCCAAAGACAAUUCUUUGUGCCCUGUACACUCAACACAUCUGAGAAUUUCAGGAACUGAAGGACGGGACAGAUGGAAAAAUCCAGGAGGGAGACCUUCCUUCCCUCAGCCUCCCAGUGGUUCUGAGAGCAUGGGCAGCAGUAUCCACUUCCAUUAAGCAUCUCUAAGGUUGUAGCACAGUGUGGACUGCUAAAGUUCUUGCACAUAUUGAACCUUUCUCAUUUCUCUUCCCCUGGCACCUCAUCCCCUCAGUUCAAAAAGCAAAUUCAAAGCAAAUUACUUCAAACCAAAAACAUUCAUCUUUUGCAAAUAGUUCAAGGCUUCUGUAUAGUAAUAGGAAUAAAGCUCUGCUGGCAUGUUUAAUGAGUGCUCUCUCGGUAGGUGCUUUUCUCUGUGCCCUGAGAAUUUGAAUUACAAGAGAAAAUUUAUUGUACUUCUGCUACAAAACCAUUCUAUUAAGUUUAGGUGCUCCAUCGUCCUCUGGCAAGGAAGUGUCAUGCAAGGUAUUUUGUGUAGAUAAGGUGAGGUCAAGGCACAAAAGGUGGGAAUUAAGCUUGUCAUGAAGACACCUGAGAGAUGAAAGUUUUCUUAAAAUGUUGUCUUCCUCUGUUACCCAACAGAUUUGGGAACAAAAGUCCUUCAGUUCUUCUUCAGAAUGUCAGAAUGUCCAGCAUCUGUAUUGUUUUGUUAGAGUUCACCACAGCUAAUUGUGUAAGUGGGUAAAGUUAUCUGUUUAUGUGGUUGUAGAGGUGUCUCCCUCAGUGAGUAGGGCUGAGUGGAAUUAGAAAUAUAGAAUGGAAGUAAACUGAGAUUUGAGUUUAAAGAAAUAUAGGUUGAGAUGCAAGGAUGCAAACAGCCAUAGUGCUAACACUGACUGUGAUGAAGAUCUGUAAAAUCAGCAGAGUGGUGAGCAAUUUAAGUAGUUAACAGAUAAGCCAGAACAGAAGAAUAAAAGACAUCAAAGCACCUUAGCUCAGGAAGUGACUUUGCAGGGUGGCUCAGAAACACUGCUAAGAAGAAUUGGGUAGAGAAUGGGAGUCAGGCAGAUGCGAGUGGGUCGACUACAGAGAUUUUCUGUUUCAGCUUUGACCUGUAAUGGUGUGUUUGGUCCUCUGCUCCUCAGACACAGAGGGACAAGCAAACAGAAGAAGAGUGGGAAGUGCAGAGACUGACAUACUGAAUGAUAUGCCCAGAAACUGAGAUGGGGGGAAAGCGUUCACAGUAUUCUUGAGUGGAAUGUAGAAAGAAAAGAAUCUUGAUAGUAGAAAAACCUGUUUCAACAAGGCUGAAAGUUAGGGUUUUAAUUUGUUCUGGGGAGGAUGGCUAGAAAUGAUAUAUGUCUACACAUAAGGGAAUUACAUGCCUAGCCAAAUGUCUUGGCAUUGUCAGGCAAGCUUUCAGGGUAGUUGUGGAAGCCUUGUCCUGUUAGAUACUAAGUCUUAUAUUAGAGAAUUUCCUGAAACAGGAUUCAUAGUGUACAAGGCAGCAGAUAGCAAGAGUUUAGGAAUGAAUAUAGGCUAGAGGAUAUCUAUCCUUGUUGAACUGCAAAAACCCUACUUUUGCUGAAAUUUUAAGAUUUGCUUCAUGCUACUGUGUGUGGGAUGUGAUCAUGAUGCUUUUAUUUCCUCCCUACAGCAUUCAGUUCUGCCUACAGCAGGGCUUCAAAGCUCUGCAGCCACUGUGGGUCAGUGGCAGUACGGGAAGUGGCUCAGAAAGGGUUGGUUUGUGGUGGCACCUGGUGACAAAGCAUAGCUUUGCUUCCCACUGGGCUUUGCUUUGAAAAGCAGCACAGAGGUGUAUGCUGUGUCACUGUCACCAAUAACUUCACUUCUGCACCUCUGUGUGUACAUGAGCAUGCAGCUCAGAAGGAAAGUGAUAAACCUGGCAUUUCAGAUGAAGAACUAGGUGGUGACAUACCUUCAUAUAGAGCUUGCAAGAGGUUAUUUCAUAGAAUCAAUAAGGUUGGAAGACACCUCUACUACCAGGUCUGCCAUUAUUUCCUUACUAAGUGUUAAGGUGUUUUGGAGGAGAAUGGAAGCUUUGUUCUUGCAAAUAUCUGUAAUUUCUUUCCAGACAGUAAUCUGGACUUUGUCCCUGCGUGAUCACUCUUAUUUUACCCUUUGGU